AAAAAAAAAACAAAGCAGAAAAGAGAAAAGAAAUAGAAAACCCUUGCCUUGCUAGUCAGUUGCCCUCCCUCGGCCUCACCCAGUCGCCCUCACGUCGCGAAACGCAAACGAAAACCCUCCUCUCAGUCUCACUCAGUCGCUUCGCUCGCCCUCACCGAACAGUCCGAACUCCAAAGUUCGAAUCCUCCUCUCAGUCUCAGUCGCUAGCCCUCGUCUCAGUCUGAACUCCGAAAACGAAAACCCUCCUCUCACUACUCUCAGCCUCACUCAGUCUCAAAUCGCUCGAUCCGGUCUGAGCGCCUUAGUCCCCUCGUCGCUCCGGCCCAUGCCUCACGCUUCCGGUCCGGUCUCCCCUCAGUUCCCUCGCUUUCACUAACUCACGCUUUCGGCAUUGAGAGGUGAAAAGACCAAAGAUGAAGAAUAAAAGUCACUCAAAAACUUGGACUUUUGUAGACUUUAAAUAUUUUGAGUAGUGAUUUGAACUUGAACAUUGAAUUGAAUUAUUUGAGGAAGUUUCUUUUGAAGUUUA